CAUAUAAGUAAGCGGAGGACAAGAAACUAAAUAGGAUUCCCCCAGUAAUGGCGAAUGAACAGGGAAGAGCUCAGCAUGGAAAUCGGGGCCUCCCGGCCUUGAAUUGUAGUCUUGAGAUGUACUGCCAACGGAGGCGCAGAUGUAAGCCUCUUGGAAAAGAGCAUCAACGAGGGUGAGAGUCCCGUUUGUCAUCUGCAGUCCCCCGUGCACGGUGUACAUUCUAAGAGUCACGUUCCUCGGGAUUGGAGCGCAAAGUGGGUGGUAAAUUUCAUCUAAAGCUAAAUAUUGGUUCGAGACCGAUAGCAAACAAGUACCAUGAGGGAAAGGUGAAAAGGACUUUGAAAAGAGAGUUAAAAGUGCCUGAAAUUGCUGAAAGGGAAGCGAAUGGAACCAGUGUUCUUGAUGAGAUUGUCGCGUACUCUGGUGAUUGCUGGGUGCUCCACCGCAAGGGGGGCAUUUGGUUUUGAGCUAGAUGUGCGUGGUGUUUCUUGUCUUGUGUGUCACCGUCGGUGCACGAGCGAGUAAACCUCCAGGGAGAUGGUAACUCGUCUGCGGAUGAGUGAAUGUCUUUGGUAGUACUCAUUUGUGUAUCGAUCCCUGCGUGUCUGGUUGCAGUGUUUGAGUCGUCUGGAAGCUUCUGAAAGGCUUGCCCUCGAUGAACUUUCUGGGCUCCUUGAGCAUCUCCCUGACACAAAGACGAUGACUAAAUGGUUCUAUUCGACCCGUCUUG
rnacentral:rRNA from 1 species